rnacentral:rRNA from 1 species
UCGGGAAUUUUGGGCAAUGGGCGAAAGCCUGACCCAGCAACGCCGCGUGAGGGAUGAAGUAUUUCGGUAUGUAAACCUCGAAAGAAUGGGAAGAAUAAAUGACGGUACCACUUAUAAGCUCCGGCUAACUACGUGCCAGCAGCCGCGGUAAUACGUAGGGAGCGAGCGUUGUUCGGAUUUACUGGGCGUAAAGGGCGCGUAGGCGGCGCGGUAAGUCACUUGUGAAAUCUCUGAGCUUAACUCAGAACGGCCAAGUGAUACUGCUGUGCUAGAGUGCGGAAGAGGCAACCUGAAUUCUUGGUGUAGCGGUGAAAUGCGUAGAUAUCAAGAGGAACACCUGAGGCGAAGGCGGGUUGCUGGGCCGACACUGACGCUGAUGCGCGAAAGCCAGGGGAGCAAACG